rnacentral:rRNA from 1 species
UGGGGGAUAUUGCACAAUGGGCGAAAGCCUGAUGCAGCGACGCCGCGUGGGGGAUGAAGGCUUUCGGGUUGUAAACCUCUUUCGCUAUCGAACAAGGCCCGCUUAGGGUGGGUUGAGGGUAGGUGGAGAAGAAGCGCCGGCUAACUACGUGCCAGCAGCCGCGGUAAUACGUAGGGCGCGAGCGUUGCCGGAAUUAUUGGGCGUAAAGGGCUUGUAGGCGGCUUGUUGCGCCUGCUGUGAAAACGCGGGGCUUAACUUCGCGCGUGCAGUGGGUACGGGCAGGCUUGAGUGUGGUAGGGGUGACUGGAAUUCCAGGUGUAGCGGUGGAAUGCGCAGAUAUCUGGAGGAACACCGAUGGCGAAGGCAGGUCACUGGGCCAUUACUGACGCUGAGGAGCGAAAGCAUGGGUAGCGAACAGG